rnacentral:rRNA from 1 species
UACGGGGGAUGCAAGCGUUAUCCGGAAUCAUUGGGCGUAAAGCGCCUGUAGGUUGUUUAUUAAGUUUGUUGUUAAAGACUAGGGCUCAACCCUAGAAAAGCAAUGAAAACUAAUAGACUAGAGUAUGGCAGGGGUAGAGGGAAUUUCUAGUGUAGCGGUGAAAUGCGUAGAUAUUAGAAAGAACACCGGUGGCGAAAGCGCUCUACUGGACCAUUACUGACACUCAGAGGCGAAAGCUAGGGUAGCAAAAGGGAUUAUAUACCCCUGUAGUCCUAGCCGUAAACGAUGGAUACUAGAUGUUGUGCUUUAUGUACAGUAUCGUAGCUAACGCGUUAAGUAUCCCGCCUGGGGAGUACGCUCGCAAGGGUG